UUCUCUUUUUCUUUUCUGUCACCCUCCCCCGACGUCCUCCACCUCGCCCGCCCCCGACGCCCUCCUCCACUCCGACUCCUCCGCCGCCACCAACCGCGCGCCCCAUCCUCCACCGCGCCGCCAGGGCGCGAGGCGCGGGCGGAUUGAACCGACGAAGUCCAUCCGCGUCGCCCGCCGCCACCAACCGCGUCCGUGUCCCCGCUCCUCCGCACAGAUCCUCCCUCCUUCCUCCAGCUCGCCCUCCCCAUUCUCUCCAAGGCUCCGACUCCUCCGCCAGGGGCCUUGCUGCGGGCGGAGGAGCUCCAGGAGUGGCUCUGCGCCGCGGCGCCCCCAGCCCCCAAACCGGCCAGAUCAAGGUAAAUCCCUAUUCUCCUCCAUAACCCUAGCUGAUUUUUCUUGCAUUUGCGGGUCUUUUUCUUGGGAUUUUCGAAUCGCGGGUUCUACUUGAUCUUUUCGUAAACUUCUUUUUGAGUCUGUUAAUCCUUGAUGUUGUGAAUCUAUUGCUCGAGUUUCGUUUUGAUUCGUGGUGUUUUGAGGGAGUAUUUUUGAGAUAAAGUUUGAAUCGCGUGCUCGUUCUCCUCAUGGUUCUUCUCUGGUCUUGCUUUUGUUCUGAGUUUUUUGGAGCGGAGGACGUGGCGCGCAAGUGGCACUCGCCUAGGCGGGCCGAGGUCACCAUCGCAGCGUGCAGCGGCGGCCAGGCGGGCGAGCGGCGGCGCUCGACGCAAGGCCGGGCAGCCAGAGGCGGUGGCGCGGCGCCCUGGCGUUGCUGCGGCUCGCGCCAGCAAGGGCAGCGGUUCUGUGGCGUGCACAACCAGCAGCCUGCUGCUGGUGGCACUCGGCCCAAGGCAGCACCAGGCCGGCCAGCUGCUCACCGCUGCAGCAGCCUAAGUGCAGCCAAUCAGGGGCAGUAGCCCAACCUGCUCAGGAAGCCGAGCGAAGGCACAACCAGGACCAGGCCGACAGCAGCUUCUGAGCUAAUUCACUUCACGUGCAAGCCAGAGGGUAUAUUUAUUCCUCUUUCUCCCUCUUCCAUAACUAAACUAAUUGAUUAUCUUUUGCUUUGCUAAUUGUCUCUAUUAGUUGUUUGCAUGCUUAAUUGACUUGUGUUAAGUAGCUCAAACUGUUAGUUUUUACUGAUUUCUACCCUAAUGAUUUUGCUGCCUCGGAUUUGGUCAAACUUAAUUGCAACUUGGUAAUUAUAUUGGUGACAUUAGACAUGAGGACAGCUUCAAAGGUCUUACCAAUCCUGUUUGCACUGCCCAUCGUGUCUGGCCAGGGAGACAGUUUGUAUGUCCCCUUUUGCUGUUUAUGUGUUCCAUCCGGAUGCACCAGUGAUUGUAAGCCUUGAUGCUUCACUUUAUUUAUCCAUUUAUGCAUCCUUGAUAAUGCCACGUAAGUGGCCGAGUAUCAAGACAGUUUUUCUAUUUGAUAAUAUUUCAAGAUAAAAUGCUUACUCAUUACUGCUUAUUAAAUAUCCAUGAUAAUGCCACACAUUUGCUUGGAAGAAGCAUAUCCAAUUUGAGGAUCGACGACUGCGCAAUUUGUGGUUUGGAAAGUUACAGGACAGAGAUGGGAGAUGGCUUAUGAAGGCAUGCAUACAUGUCUUUCUCACCUGCAGGUCUCCUAUGGAUCUCUAAUCUUGUGGCUUUUGCUGCCAUUGCAGCUAAUCUGUUCUUUGAUUUGAUUGCUUCAAACUUUUUUGUUUGUACUCUUUUGAGCUCUUAACUACUGAAAUAUUGAUUCCUUUGUGCCCUUUUGCAUGUCCUGUUGAACUCUACCACUCUGCGAUUCUGUCUUGCAUUGCUGACCUAGAUCUCUAGGGCCUCUUCACUUCACUUCCUGCUGGAUUCGAACCUGGGACCUGUGUCAAUGUUAGUGGGACUAAUAUGUCAAGUCAAUUCAAUCUCAUGAUUUCCUGCCUUGGUCUCAAGAACGAAGAAAAAAAUUCCAAUUGGGGGCAAUGAUCAACAAUGAUGUCUGAGAUAAGCACCUUUGAGGAAUCAGGGCUGCUGUUGGCAUUUAAGUGGAAUCCUCUGUCCUCUCUUGGAAACCUUUUCAACUAUGCUCAAAUGGUUUUGUUCUUGGAUGGUCAUGCCAUUUUUCAUGGAUGAUAACCAGGACAGCUCCACUUAUCUGAACAGGUUGAUCUGGUGAUAAGAGAAGGCGCGGAUACAGUUAUAUGAUCGAGCAAAGGCGAAGCUGAGCCCACUCAAAUAUUUUACUGCUACCCACACAGUACCUUAUGUAAUUUGUUUCUUUAGUUGAAUAAUGUUUUUGCAGCGUGUUUUUUUGCCUAACCUUUUUGCUAAAUUAUUUUCCUUUUCUUACACCUGCCUAACUUCAUGCAGUUACCUUCUACAAUGUUGCAAUAUCAGUGCUUCCCCUGCAUAAAAAUACGUUCAGUUACCUUCUUUUAUCUCAAAAUUUCUCGCAAUGAUUUUUUGAGUUAUGUUUAGGUCCUGUACUCCUAUUGAACCUGGGUGAGUUUGGACUCUGAAGGCAUUGUGCUUUUGGCAAUUACCAGUAACCUUUGGGCCAUCAGAACUAUUAUGUCUAUGCUGUGUUGGUCCAUUCUGGUAGUUCUAUACAUUCCUUUGUUUGUUCAAUUUUCUUUCCCACUUGUGUCUGUUUAUCUUCCGUUUGUACUGUUCUUCAGUGGAAUGUUCAAUUUUCUUCAGUGGCAGUGAUGAUCGAAUGCCCCAUAGAUCUAUUGGUUAAGUUUCUUGGUUGUCGUUGAUUCUCUGCUGUAGAAUAAACUAGCUGUGGACAUUGACUUGCACAUUUAGGUGUAGUGUGUGGUCUGGUUCACAUUUUUUAGUUUUGAAACUUUUAGUUGUCUUAGGAAGGAAGCAGAGAGUGCACAAUUUUGAGAUUGGUUAAUUCAGAAAUCAGAUUCACUGCGUUCGGCAGGCUGGAGCUGGAGGCUGGAACUGGAGUGCUGUGCUGUGAGAGAAAAAUACUGUUACCUGGCUGGUGGCUGGAGGCUGGAGCUGGAGGGAUGUGAGAGGGGAAUACUGUAGCGCUGGAGGCUACACCAACAGCCGAACGCAGUGAUUAUAUACUUUAAGCAGGCUGGUUGCAUUCGGUGCGGCAGAGAAGCACACCCUGCAAGGAUGGGAGCAGCCCUCCCGCCAUUCAAUGAAACGGUCAUUCUUGAAGCAGCACAAUGAUGAAGAGGCAUGAUUAAGUUGAAGAGAAGGCAUGUAGCAGUACAAAAUGAGCUAAAGAAAUGCAGGGUAGGAACCUUCAGAUAUUGCAGCUCAAUAUCUGAACAUUAUAUUGCAUCACUUCCAUUCACUAAAAGAGGGGAUAAAUACAAUUAUGUUUCCUGCCAUAAUUGGCAUGUCAAGAAAAAUAUGUUCCUUGGCAAUACAGCAAUAUCUGAAUAUUAUAUUGCAUCACUUCCAUUCACUAAAAGAGGGGAAUUCAGAUUUGGUUGAUGUCA